rnacentral:rRNA from 1 species
AUUGAACGCUGGCGGCAGGCCUAACACAUGCAAGUCGAGCGGUAACAGGAAGAAGCUUGCUUCUUUGCUGACGAGUGGCGGACGGGUGAGUAAUGUCUGGGAAACUGCCUGAUGGAGGGGGAUAACUACUGGAAACGGUAGCUAAUACCGCAUAACGUCGCAAGACCAAAGAAGGGGACCUUCGGGCCUCUUGCCAUCGGAUGUGCCCAGAUGGGAUUAGCUAGUAGGUGGGGUAACGGCUCACCUAGGCGACGAUCCCUAGCUGGUCUGAGAGGAUGACCAGCCACACUGGAACUGAGACACGGUCCAGACUCCUACGGGAGGCAGCAGUGGGGAAUAUUGCACAAUGGGCGCAAGCCUGAUGCAGCCAUGCCGCGUGUAUGAAGAAGGCCUUCGGGUUGUAAAGUACUUUCAGCGGGGAGGAAGGGAGUAAAGUUAAUACCUUUGCUCAUUGACGUUACCCGCAGAAGAAGCACCGGCUAACUCCGUG